GGGGCUGUGGUGUAGCCUGGUUAGCAUACAAGCUUUGGGAGCUUGCGACCCCGGUUCAAAUCCGGGCAGCCUCA
rnacentral:tRNA from 1 species